UACGUAGGGUGCGAGCGUUAAUCGGAAUUACUGGGCGUAAAGCGUGCGCAGGCGGUUCGUUGUGUCGGCGGUGAAAGCCCCGGGCUUAACCUGGGAAUGGCCGUUGAAACUGGCGAACUGGAGUGUGGCAGAGGGGGGUGGAAUUCCGCGUGUAGAGGUGAAAUUCGUAGAUAUUGGGAAGAACACCGGUGGCGAAGGCGGCUCACUGGCUCGUAACUGACGCUCAGGCGCGACAGCGUGGGGAUCAAACAGG
rnacentral:rRNA from 1 species